GAUGAACGCUAGCGGCAGGCUUAAUACAUGCAAGUCGAGGGGCAGCAUGAAGUAUCAAUACUUUGAUGGCGACCGGCACACGGGUGCGGAACACGUACACAACCUUCCUUUAAGUGGGGAAUAGCCCAGAGAAAUUUGGAUUAAUACCCCGUAACACAACGAAGUGGCAUCACUUUGUUGUUAUAGUUUCGGCGCUUAAUGAUGGGUGUGCGUAUGAUUAGAUAGUUGGCGAGGUAACGGCUCACCAAGUCUACGAUCAUUAGCUGAUGUGAGAGCAUGAUCAGCCACACGGGGACUGAGACAAGGGCCAGACACCUACGGGAGGCAGCAGUAAGGAAUAUUGGUCAAUGGACGAAAGUCUGAACCAGCCAUGCCGCGUGAAGGAUUAAGGUCCUCUGGAUUGUAAACUUCUGUUAUAUGGGAGGAAAAAAGGUCUUUCUAGACCCCUUGACGGUACCAGAUGAAUAAGCACCGGCUAACUCCGUG
rnacentral:rRNA from 1 species